CACCUCUGCGCAUGCGUCUGGUCCGGCCGUUCGAGAGAAAAAGUCCUCCGUCUUUUGGUUUUCGAAAUUAACAAGAUAUGCCCAUAUUUGCCCGGAAGCGUGUGACACAUUCUCCCCUGCUUCUCUUUCCUUUGAUUUAUUCUUAUUUGGCCGAACGACUGGGACGACGCCGUGGGUCGAGCCUGGCAUGGACGAAGACAGCCAUGCCUGUCAGGCCCCCAGCCUCACGCCGCUAUAAAUAGCCGGGGACGUGGGGUUGUCGGUCUCUUUGUGCGAUGGUCUCGCUGCACCGGUUUGGGGAGUGCUGCUUUGCCCCCCUCGGGGCUGUCGGGCUCCCUCCCCGACACCCGGGGAGGCGAUGGCCCGGGCUUCCUGCGAGUGGGUGUCUCGGGGCCCUGCGGGUCCCUGGUCCCCGCAGGCGUGUCCGCAGCGCCGCGAGGGUUUCUUAA
rnacentral:lncRNA from 1 species